GCGAAACCUUUACACUGCACGCCAGUGCGAUAAGGGAAUCCCAAGUGCGCAGGCAUAGAGCCUGCGCUUUUGUUCACCGUAGGGAGGUGCACGAAUAAGGGCUGGGCAAGACCGGUGCCAGCCGCCGCGGUAAUACCGGCAGCCCGAGUGAUGGCCGAUCUUAUUGGGCCUAAAGCGUCCGUAGCUGGCCGCGCAAGUCUAUCGGAAAAUCCACCCGCCCAACGGGUGGGCGUCCGGUAGAAACUGCGUGGCUUGGGACCGGAAGGCGCGACGGGUACGUCCGGGGUAGGAGUGAAAUCCCGUAAUCCUGGACGGACCGCCGAUGGCGAAAGCACGUCGCGAGGACGGAUCCGACAGUGAGGGACGAAAGCCAGGGUCUCGAACCGGAUUAGAUACCCGGGUAGUCCUGGCCGUAAACAAUGUCUGUUAGGUGUGGCUCCCGCUACGAGCGGGUGCUGUGCCGUAGGGAAGCCGCUAAACAGACCGCCUGGGAAGUACGUCCGCAAGGAUGAAACUUAAAGGAAUUGGCGGGGGAGCACUACAACCGGAGGAGCCUGCGGUUUAAUUGGACUCAACGCCGGACAUCUCACCAGCAUCGACUGUAAUAAUGACGAUCAGGUUGAUGACCUUAUCCGAGUUUCAGAGAGGAGGUGCAUGGCCGCCGUCAGCUCGUACCGUGAGGCGUCCUGUUAAGUCAGGCAACGAGCGAGACCCGCAUCCUUACUUGCCAGCAGCACUGCGAAGUGGCUGGGGACAGUAGGGAGACCGCCGUGGCCAACACGGAGGAAGGAACGGGCAACGGUAGGUCAGUAUGCCCCGAAUGUGCUGGGCAACACGCGGGCUACAAUGGUCGAGACAAAGGGUUCCUACUCCGAAAGGAGACGGUAAUCUCAGAAACUCGAUCGUAGUUCGGAUUGUGGGCUGCAACUCGCCCACAUGAAGCUGGAUUCGGUAGUAAUCGCGUGUCACAAGCGCGCGGUGAAUACGUCCCUGCUCCUUGCACACACCGCCCGUCAAAGCACCCGAGUGAGGUCCGGAUGAGGCUCGUUACACGAGUCGAA
rnacentral:rRNA from 1 species